AUGGCGGAGGCGGUGCUUGUUGCUCUCGGAAAGAUUGGGAAUGUCUUAGCUGAUGAAGCUACCAAGGCUUUGCUGGCCAAGCUGUCAGAAAAAGUUAGUAAUCUGAUUGAUCUGGAUGACAAGAUUGAGGGAAUAGCGAAGCAAUUAAAUACAAUGAAGAACGUCAUACAGCAGAUAGGCACGCCGUACCUCGCCGACAAAGUCGUAAAGGGUUGGAUUGGGGAGGUGAGGAAGUUGGCCUACCAUGUUGAGGACGUGAUGGACAAAUACUCAUAUCACUCUCUUCAUGUGGAAAAAGGGUUUCUGAAGAAGUGCCUCAAAGGAUCACAUUAUGUCCGGGUUUUCAGUCAAAUUGCCGAUGAGGUAGUCAAGAUAGAGAAGGAGAUAAAGCAAGUUAUUGAACUCAAGGAGCAAUGGCUGCAACCAUCCCAGCUUGUUCAUGACCCGCGCACUGAGAUGGAAAGACAACGGUCCCAAGAUAGCUUCCCUGAACUUGUGAAAGAUGGAGAUCUUAUUGGAAUUGAAGAUAACAGGCGAAUGAUGACUGAAUGGUUGUACUCGGAUGAGAUGGAGACUACGGUGAUAACGGUGUCGGGUAUGGGUGGGUUGGGAAAAACAACCCUCGUCACAAAUGUGUAUGAACGUGAAAAGGUCAACUUCCAAACUAGUGCGUGGAUGGUUGUGUCUCAGACCUACACUUUGGAUGCUCUGUUGAGGAAGUUACUCGAGAAGGUUACCGAACAACCAUCAUCACCUAACAUUGACAGGAUGGAUGUGCAUGACUUGAAGGAAGAAAUAAAGCGGAAGCUUAAAGAUAGGAAAUGUUUAAUUGUAUUGGAUGAUGUCUGGAACAAGGAGGUGUACUCUCAAAUGCGAGAUGCAUUCCAGAAUUCUGAUGCAAGUCGCAUCAUCAUCACAACGCGGAACAAUCACGUUGCUUCUGUUGCUCACUUGACACGCCGUAUCGAUCUCAAGCCUUUGGGGAAUGCUCACGCAUUCGAACUCUUCUGCAGGAGGGUCUUUUAUAUCAAGGAGGACCAUGAGUAUGAGUGUCCCAGUCAUCUCAUGAAAACUGCUAGGUCUAUAGUUGAUAGGUGUCAGGGUCUGCCACUAGCAAUUUUAUCAAUAGGUGGUGUUUUGUCUUCGAGGCCACAAACACAAUACUCUUGGGAGCAGAUAUGCAAUCAACUCUCAACUGAGCUGUCGAAGAAUGAUCAUCUCCGGGCAGUUUUAAAUCUGAGCUACCAUGACCUAUCUGGAGACCUCAGAAACUGCCUUUUGUAUUGCAGCCUCUUCCCGGAAGACUACCCAAUGUCACGUGAGAGCCUUGUGAGGCUGUGGGUUGCAGAAGGCUUUGUGUGUAGCAAAGGAAAUAGCACCCCGGAGGAGGUGGCCGAGGGAAACCUGACGGAACUGAUAUACCGCAAUAUGCUUGAAGUCAAGGAGACAGAUGAACUGGGAAGGGUGAGCACCUGUACAAUGCAUGAUAUCAUGCGAGACCUGGCUCUUUGUGUUGCAAGUGAGGAGCAGUUUGUAUGUGCAAAUGAUUAUGCCACAUUGAUACAUAUGAAUAAGGAUGUUCGUCGUCUGUCAUCAUGCGGAUGGAAAGGCAAUACUGCACUGAAAAUUAAGCUUCCCCGUCUUCGAACUCUAGUGUCAGUAGGAGCAAUUUCAUCCAUGCCUGCCAUGCCGUUCUCAGUUUCGUCAGAAUCCAGCUACCUGACUGUCCUCGAGCUACAAGACUCUGAAAUCACCGAAGUGCCGGCAUGGAUAGGGACACUCUUCAAUUUACGUUACAUUGGCUUACGCCGCACCAAGGUGAGGUCACUCCCGGACUCUGUUGAGAAACUAUCGAACCUGCAAACUCUUGACAUCAAGCAAACUAACAUAGAGACCCUACCAAGAGGGAUUGCUAAGAUCAAGAAUCUACGGCACCUCUUAGCUGAUAGAUAUGCUGAUGAGAAGCAGACGGAGUUUCGAUACUUUGUCGGAAUUCAAGCACCAAAAGAACUGCCCAACAUUGAGGGGUUGCAGACUCUUGAGACCAUCCAAGCCAACAAAGACUUGGCUGAGCAGCUGGAGAGAAUGGUGCAACUGCGAACUCUGUGGAUUGACAACAUAAGUUCUGCUGAAUGCGCUAAUAUUUUUGCUGCCCUGUCAAAUAUGCCGCUUCUUUCCAGCCUGCUUCUUGCUGGAAGAGAUGAGAACGAGGCACUUUGUUUUGAGUCCCUCCAGCCAAUGUCCACACAUCUCCACAAGCUGAUCAUCAGAGGGAAAUGGGCCAAGGGAACGCUGGACUGCCCGAUAUUCCGCAGCCAUGGAGAAAAUCUCAAGUAUCUAGCUCUAAGCUGGUGUCACCUUUGGGAAGACGAGGAUCCACUAGGGAUGCUUGCACCACACUUGCCAAACCUCACAUAUCUGCGACUCAACAACAUGCGCAGUGCAAACAUUUUGGUUCUUUCUGCAGAUUCCUUUCCUCACCUGAAGAGUCUUACACUAAAGCACAUGCAUAAUGUCGAUGAGCUAAACAUCAUCGAUGGCGCCCUUCCAUGCAUUGAAGGUUUGUAUGUUGUGUCGCUGUCGAAGCUUGACAAGGUUCCUCAAGGCAUUGAAUGCCUUAGUUCCCUGAAGAAGCUCUGGCUGCUGGGUUUGCACGGGGGCUUCAAAGCUCAAUGGGACUUGAACGGAAUGCAGCAGAAGAUGGUGCAUGUUCAGGAGGUUCGUGUCUGA
rnacentral:rRNA from 1 species